GAGAUGAAAUUCUCUACAGACUCUAUGAUGUAAUUUUAAGUUUACCCAAAUCAGUUGUACCCUCUGAAUGCAAGUUAGAUGAAGGGUCAGUCCAAUAUAAUUCAACAACUCUUGAUCUUUGUAAAUGAAUGUUCUGCUACCCUCUUGUGGCCAUAAGUUAAUCAGAACGUGUGUUUAUUAAAUGUAUGAGCGCAUGAAAGAAUGUUUUCAAAAAUCAGCUUGAACAGCCCAGUUACAUGACUGAAAAUAUUCAUUAAAGAGAAAAACUUCAUAGAUAUUUGA